CGGGUGAGUAACACGUAAAGAAUCUGCCCUGAAGCGGGGAAUAACUAUCCCAACGGAUAGCUAAUACCGCAUAGUGAUGGAGACGGCAUCGUCUCUUCUCAAAAGGCUUCGGCCACUUCAGGAUGACUUUGCGUCCCAUUAGCUUGUUGGCGGGGUAACGGCCCACCAAGGCUACGAUGGGUAUCCGGCCUGAGAGGGUGUACGGACACAUUGGGACUGAGAUACGGCCCAG
rnacentral:rRNA from 1 species